GCCACCGUUCCCGGGAUUCAUGACUUUAAUUAUGUUUCUUCCAGGGGUCUGAGUUUAUUGUGGAGGCUGCUGGGCUGGUGGAUUCCUUCUUCCCUGUGCUCACCCCAGAGGAGUUGCCACAAAGUGCUGAUCAUCCAGUCUCAUUGAAAGUAGCACAUUCGCGUGAACGGGGCCCCGGGAGAGCAUUUCCACGCCCAAGUCGCCGAAGCAUUUGCGGAAAGCUCCUGGCCAGAUGCCACGGACGGGCCACACAAGUGCCGCGACUGUCUAACUCCACCGAAUGUGUAAUUAUAGCAACACAAGCAUCAAAUUACCAGGGACAAGUAGCUGCCAAGUAAUUAUAUGAUUCUUUGUUACUUGGAGGGUUGGGGUUUCCCCCACAUUUAAAGCCGAUUCCUUUAAAAGCUCCGGUUCAGUGGGC
rnacentral:lncRNA from 1 species